rnacentral:rRNA from 1 species
GAUGAACGCUGGCGGCGUGCCUAAUACAUGCAAGUCGAGCGAACAGACGAGGAGCUUGCUCCUCUGACGUUAGCGGCGGACGGGUGAGUAACACGUGGAUAACCUACCUAUAAGACUGGGAUAACUUCGGGAAACCGGAUCUAAUACCGGAUAAUAUAUUGAACGGCAUGGUUCAAUAGUGAAAGACGGUUUUGCUGUCACUUAUAGAUGGAUCCGCGCGGCAUUAGCUAGUUGGUAAGGUAACGGCUUACCAAGGCAACGAUGCGUAGCCGACCUGAGAGAGUGAUCGGCCACACUGGAACUGAGACACGGUCCAGACUCCUACGGGAGGCAGCAGUAGGGAAUCUUCCGCAAUGGGCGAAAGCUUGACGGAGCAACGCCGCGUGAGUGAUGAAGGUCUUCGGAUCGUAAAACUCUGUUAUUAGGGAAGAACAAAUGUGUAAGUAACUAUGCACGUCUUGACGGUACCUAAUAAGAAAGCCACGGCUAACUACGUG